rnacentral:rRNA from 1 species
CCGAAGCUGCGGCAGCGACACUAUGUGUUGUUGGGUAGGGGAGCGUUCUGUAAGCCUGCGAAGGUGGCCUGUGAGGGCUGCUGGAGGUAUCAGAAGUGCGAAUGCUGACAUAAGUAACGAUAAAGCGGGUGAAAAGCCCGCUCGCCGGAAGACCAAGGGUUCCUGUCCAACGUUAAUCGGGGCAGGGUGAGUCGACCCCUAAGGCGAGGCCGAAAGGCGUAGUCGAUGGGAAACAGGUUAAUAUUCCUGUACUUGGUGUUACUGCGAAGGGGGGACGGAGAAGGCUAUGUUAGCCGGGCGACGGUUGUCCCGGUUUAAGCAUGUAGGCGGAGGUUCCAGGUAAAUCCGGUACCUUUUAACGCUGAGGUGUGAUGACGAGGCACUACGGUGCUGAAGUAACAAAUGCCCUGCUUCCAGGAAAAGCCUCUAAGCAUCAGGUAACAUCAAAUCGUACCCCAAACCGACACAGGUGGUCAGGUAGAGAAUACCAAGGCGCUUGAGAGAACUCGGGUGAAGGAACUAGGCAAAAUGGUGCCGUAACUUCGGGAGAAGGCACGCUGGUGUGUAGGUGAAGUCCCUGCGGAUGGAGCUGAGACCAGUCGAAGAUACCAGCUGGCUGCAACUGUUUAUUAAAAACACAGCACUGUGCAAACACGAAAGUG